CACUUCUAAGGAAGGCAGCAGGCGCGCAAAUUACCCAAUCCUGACUCAGGGAGGUAGUGACAAGAAAUAACAAUAAACCGGCUUAUGCCGGUUUAAUUGGAAUGAGUACAAUUUAAACAUCUUAACGAGGAACAAUUGGAGGGCAAGUCUGGUGCCAGCAGCCGCGGUAAUUCCAGCUCCAAUAGCGUAUACUAAAGUUGUUGCAGUUAAAAAGCUCGUAGUUGGAUUUCUGUGGGGACGGAGCGGCCGGCCGCAACACGCGGUUCGAGCUAGCGCUUUCCCUACAUCCUGCCGCGAACCGUGCUACCAUUAAUUUGGUGGCGCCGGGGAUCGGCUCGAUUACUUUGAGAAAAAUAGAGUGUUCAAAGCAGGCCACAUGCCUUGAAUAAGUUAGCAUGGAAUAAUAACUAAGGACUUCGGUUCUAUUUUGUUGGUGUUCGCGGACUGAAGUAAUGAUUGAUAGGGACAGUUGGGGCGGUCUGUAUUCCAAAGCGAGAGGUGAAAUUCUUAGACCUUCGGAAGACAAACAGCUGCGAAAGCGUUCCGCAAGGAUGUUCCCUUUGAUCAAGAACGAAAGUUGGGGGAUCGAAGACGAUCAGAUACCGUCGUAGUCUCAACUAUAAACUAUACCAGCUAGGGAUCGGCCAACGUUAUUUUAUACCGACUUGGUCGGCACCUUAUGAGAAAUCAAAGCAUCUGGGUUCCGGGGGGAGUAUGGUCGCAAGGCUGAAACUUAAAGGAAUUCAACGGAAGGGCACCACCAGCCGUGGAGCCUGUGGCUUAAUUUGACUCAACACGGGAAAACUUACCAGGUCCAGACAUAGUAAGGAUUGACAGAUUGAUAGCUCUUUCUUGAUUCUGUGGGUGGUGGUGCAUGGCCGUUCUUAGUUGGUGGAGUGAUUUGUCUGGUUAAUUCCGUUAACGAACGAGACCCCAGCCUGCUAAAUAGCGCGCGUGAGCUUUGCUCGCGGCGAGCUUCUUAGAGGGACUAUGAUGCGCGAUAGCACAUGGAAGUUUGGGGCAAUAACAGGUCUGUGAUGCCCUUAGAUGUUCUGGGCCGCACACGGGCUACACUGGCGCCUGCAACGAGCAUAUCAGCUGGCCCGAGAGGGUCUUGGCUAAUCUUUUGAACCGGCGCCGUGCUUGGGAUUGACCUUUGCAAUUGUUGGUCAUGCAACGAGGAAUGCCUUGUAAACGCGAGUCAUCAGCUCGCAUUGAAUACGUCCCUGCCCUUUGUACACACCGCCCGUCGCUCCUACCGAUGAAUGUUCCGAUGAAAUUUUCGGAGAGUGCCUGUGAACUUGGCUCUGCCUUGCGAACGGGAAGCUCAAAGUCACUUAAAUCUGAACAUUU
rnacentral:rRNA from 1 species